rnacentral:rRNA from 1 species
UGGCGGCACGCUUAACACAUGCAAGUCGAACGAUUAAAGCACCUUCGGGUGUGUAUAGAGUGGCGAACGGCUGAGUAACACGUGGGCAACCUGCCCUUCAGUUCGGAAUAGCUACGGGAAACCGUGGGUAAUACCGGAUGAUCCACCUCCCUCGCAUGAAGGAGUGGCAAAGAUUUAUUACGCUGAAGGAUGGGCCCGCGGCCUGUUAGCUUGUUGGUGAGGUAACGGCUCACCAAGGCAGAAUGGGUAGCCGGGUUGAGAGACCGACCGGCCAGAUUGGGACUGAGACACGGCCCAGACUCCUACGGGAGGCAGCAGUGGGGAAUCUUGCGCAAUGGGCGAAAGCCUGACGCAGCGAUGCCGCGUGCGGGAUGAAGGCCUUCGGGUCGUAAACCGCUUUCAGCAGGGACGAGGCCGCAAGGUGACGGUACCUGCAGAAGAAGCCCCGGCUAACUACGUGCCAGCAGCCGCGGUAAUACGUAGGGGGCGAGCGUUAUCCGGAUUCAUUGGGCGUAAAGCGCGCGUAGGCGGCCUGUUAGGUCAAGAGUUAAAUCCGGGGGCUCAACCCCCGUCCGCUCCUGAUACCGGCAGGCUUGAGUCUGGUAGGGGAAGAUGGAAUUCCAAGUGUAGCGGUGAAAUGCGCAGAUAUUUGGAAGAACACCGGUGGCGAAGGCGGCCUUCUGGGCCACGACUGACGCUGAGGCGCGAAAGCUAGGGGAGCGAAACAGGAUUAGAUACCCUGGUAGUCCUAGCCGUAAACGAUGGACACUAGGUGUGGGGGGAACAUCCCUCCGUGCCGCAGCUAACGCAUUAAGUGUCCCGCCUGGGGAGUACGGCCGCAAGGCUAAAACUCAAAGGAAUUGACGGGGGCCCGCACAAGCAGCGGAGCAUGUGGCUUAAUUCGAAGCAACGCGAAGAACCUUACCAGGGCUUGACAUAUAGGUGAAGCGGUGGAAA